AUCCGGCUGACAAGUCCCAAAUAGGAUGAAACACGCGUCCUGGAU
rnacentral:hammerhead_ribozyme from 1 species